GGGAGCUCUCUUAGGACAGGGGCUUUGGCAGGGGUGGCAGGUAAUUCACUCACAUUCCUUGGGAGGACCCCGGGGGAGGGGAACAAAGCUCCUGCCUGCUAACUU